UACGUAGGCAGCAAGCGUUGUUCGGAUUUACUGGGCGUAAAGGGCGCGUAGGCGGUCAGCACAAGUCAGUUGUGAAAUCUCCGGGCUUAACUCGGAAAGGUCAACUGAUACUGUGCGACUAGAGUGCAGAAGGGGCAACUGGAAUUCUCGGUGUAGCGGUGAAAUGCGUAGAUAUCGAGAGGAACACCUGCGGCGAAGGCGGGUUGCUGGGCUGACACUGACGCUGAUGCGCGAAAGCCAGGGGAGCGAACGGG
rnacentral:rRNA from 1 species